CCGUGAUAACGUAGCAUAAUCAUUCGCCACCUAAUUAGUGGAUAGUAUGAAUGGUAAAACGAGUAUAACACUCUCUCAGAAGGAAGUUUUAUGAAAUUGGAAUGGUAGUCAAGAUACUACCUAAAACUGUAAGACGAAAAGACCCUAUAGAGCUUAACUACACCUUUCUCACAAAGUUAAGUUCACUUAAGUUCAAGAAAGAUUGGUAGUUUAGUUGGGGCGACUGCUUUCUAGUAAAAACGAAAGCAAGCAAUAUUAAUUAUCUAAUUUACUGUCUAACCUAUGUGUUUAACAGUUAUAAAAAUAGGCAAUAGUGACCCGUUAGUAACAAAAAACACCACUAACGAACAAUAAAUAAAAGCUACCUUAGGGAUAACAGGAUAAUCUUGUUCUAGAGACCCUAUCGAAAACAAGGUUUGUCACCUCUAUGUUGAAUUAAGAUAUCCUAGAAGUGUAGAAGCUUCUGAGG
rnacentral:rRNA from 1 species